rnacentral:rRNA from 1 species
GGAUGAACGCUGGCGGCGUGCCUAAUCCAUGCAAGUCGAGCGAACAGACGAGGAGCUUGCUCCUCUGACGUUAGCGGCGGCCGGGUGAGUAACACGUGGAUAACCUACCUAUAAGACUGGGAUAACUUCGGGAAACCGGAGCUAAUACCGGAUAAUAUAUUGAACCGCAUGGUUCAAUAGUGAAAGACGGUUUUGCUGUCACUUAUAGAUGGAUCCGCGCCGCAUUAGCUAGUUGGUAAGGUAACGGCUUACCAAGGCAACGAUGCGUAGCCGACCUGAGAGGGUGAUCGGCCACACUGGAACUGAGACACGGUCCAGACUCCUACGGGAGGCAGCAGUAGGGAAUCUUCCGCAAUGGGCGAAAGCCUGACGGAGCAACGCCGCGUGAGUGAUGAAGGUCUUCGGAUCGUAAAACUCUGUUAUUAGGGAAGAACAAAUGUGUAAGUAACUAUGCACGUCUUGACGGUACCUAAUCAGAAAGCCACGGCUAACUACGUG